rnacentral:rRNA from 1 species
CCUACGGGGGGCAGCAGUGGGGAAUAUUGGACAAUGGGGGCAACCCUGAUCCAGCAAUGCCGCGUGAGUGAUGAAGGCCUUCGGGUUGUAAAGCUCUUUUGUCUGUGAUGAUAAUGACAGUAACAGACGAAUAAGCCCCGGCUAACUUCGUGCCAGCAGCCGCGGUAAUACGAAGGGGGCUAGCGUUGUUCGGAAUAACUGGGCGUAAAGGGCGCGUAGGCGGUUAGAUACGUCUGAUGUGAAAGUCCUGGGCUUAACCUAGGGACUGCAUUGGAUACGGUUUAGCUAGAGUGCGAGAGGGGAAAAUGGAAUUGCGCGUGUAGAGGUGAAAUUCGUAGAGAUGCGCAAGAACACCAGUGGCGAAGGCGAUUUUCUGGCUCGCAACUGACGCUGAGGCGCGAAAGCGUGGGGAGCAAACAGGAUUAGAUACCCCAGUAGUC